rnacentral:misc_RNA from 1 species
CUGUCGCAGCCCGACCUGAGUGGAGCUCAUUUUUUUGGUUUGGCUAAGGCUUGGAAAAAAAUAGCGGGAACGGAGGGCGGAAAUGCUG